UACGGAGGGGACUAGCGUUGUUCGGAAUUACUGGGCGUAAAGCGCACGUAGGCGGAUUUGUAAGUCAGGGGUGAAAUCCCGGGGCUCAACCCCGGAACUGCACUUGAUACUGCGGUGCUCGAGUACUGGAGAGGAGAUUGGAAUUUACGGUGUAGCAGUGAAAUGCGUAGAUAUCGUAAGGAAGACCAGUGGCGAAGGCGAAUCUCUGGACAGUUACUGACACUGAGGCACGAAGGCCAGGGGAGCAAACGGG
rnacentral:rRNA from 1 species